rnacentral:rRNA from 1 species
GGAUUAAUACCGGAUAUUCUUAUUUAAUCACAUGAUUUUUUAAGGAAAGGUCAGCCGAACUAAGAUGGGCUCGCGUUCUAUCAGCUAGUUGGUAGGGUAAUGGCCUACCAAGGCUACGACGGAUAGCUGGUCUGAGAGGACGAUCAGCCACACUGGGACUGAGACACGGCCCAGACUCCUACGGGAGGCUGCAGCAGGGAAUAUUGCGCAAUGAGCGAAAGCUUGACGCAGCGACACCGCGUGUGGGAUGACGGAUCUAGGUUUGUAAACCACUUUCAGGAGGGAAGAAAAUGACGGUACCUCCACAAGAAGCCCCGGCCAACUACGUGCCAGCAGCCGCGGUAAUACGUAGGGGGCGAGCGUUGUCCGGAUUUAUUGGGCGUAAAGAGCUCGUAGGCGGUUCAACAAGUCGGUCGUGAAAGUUCAGGGCUCAACCCUGAAAUGUCGAUCGAUACUGUUGUGACUAGGAUACGGUAGAGGUGAGUGGAAUUCCGAGUGUAGCGGUGAAAUGCGUAGAUAUUCGGAGGAACACCAAUUGCGAAGGCAGCUCACUGGGCCGCUAUCGACGCUGAGGAGCGAAAGCUAGGGGAGCAAACAGGAUUAGAUACCCUGGUAGUCCUAGCUGUAAACGAUGGAUACUAGACGUAGGAAUUGGAUUAACGAUUUCUGUGUCGUAGCUAACGCGUUAAGUAUCCCGCCUGGGGAGUACGGUCGCAAGACUAAAACUCAAAGGAAUUGACGGGACCCCGCACAAGCGGCGGAGCAUGCGGCUUAAUUCGAUGAUACCCGUAGAACCUUACCUGGACUUGACAUAUAGGGAAAAGUUAUAGAAAUAUAAUGUGCAUUAGCGUCCUAUACAGGUGGUGCAUGGCUGUCGUCAGCUCGUGUCGUGAGAUGUUGGGUUAAGUCCCGCAACGAGCGCAACC